rnacentral:rRNA from 1 species
GACGAACGCUGGCGGCGUGCUUAACACAUGCAAGUCGAACGGAAAGGCCCUGCUUUUGUGGGGUGCUCGAGUGGCGAACGGGUGAGUAACACGUGAGUAACCUGCCCUUGACUUUGGGAUAACUUCAGGAAACUGGGGCUAAUACCGGAUAGAAGCUCCUGCUGCAUGGUGGGGGUUGGAAAGUUUCGGCGGUUGGGGAUGGACUCGCGGCUUAUCAGCUUGUUGGUGGGGUAGUGGCUUACCAAGGCUUUGACGGGUAGCCGGCCUGAGAGGGUGACCGGCCACAUUGGGACUGAGAUACGGCCCAGACUCAUACGGGAGGCAGCAGUGGGGAAUAUUGCACAAUGGGCGGAAGCCUGAUGCAGCAACGCCGCGUGCGGGAUGACGGCCUUCGGGUUGUAAACCGCUUUCGCCUGUGACGAAGCGUGAGUGACGGUAAUGGGUAAAGAAGCACCGGCUAACUACGUG